UACGAAGGGGGCAAGCGUUGUUCGGAAUUACUGGGCGUAAAGGGCGCGCAGGCGGUUCUUCAAGUCAGAUGUGAAAGCCCCGGGCUCAACCUGGGAAUUGCAUUUGGGACUGGGGAACUAGAGUUCGGGAGAGGUGGGUGGAAUUCCCAGUGUAGAGGUGAAAUUCGUAGAUAUUGGGAAGAACACCGGUGGCGAAGGCGGCUCACUGGACCGAUACUGACGCUGAGGCGCGAAAGCUAGGGGAGCAAACAGG
rnacentral:rRNA from 1 species